rnacentral:lncRNA from 1 species
CAGUCCCCUAAGGGUUUACACUAAGAGAGAGACAGCAACGACGAGGCAGUGAUAUAAAGGCGAGAUGGACAAAUAACAAAGCUGAACUAUAACGCCAUACCAGUGGUACAAGCCAGGAGCUGAGUAUAUUCUGAGCAAUAGUGAGGGAGGAUGAAGUCACCAUAGCAGGAAGAUCACACCUACUCUGAGAACCACGGACCGUGUGAAGCCCUGUGGAGCUUAAUGGUGAGACGAUCAACAUCAGUGAGGUUCAAGGGGGGUGCCAGCGGUUACAACUCACAAGCUGUCUGGUGUUGUUCUCUGUCAUGUGCUUCUGGCCUCACUCAGUAACAGCAACUCAGAAAACUACCCAGGCGAAAAGUCAUAUGCUUUGAAGAUAUACUAACAUUUCAUCGGCCUCACCAUUUUCCAGGGUCUUCCAAAUCUUUACCAGAGCUGCUAACAAGCAGUCAGCUGGACUGCCCUGUGACUUUCUCCUCUACAGUGAACCCACAGAAAGGUCAGCAGCCGGACACAGAAAUAGGAGAAGGGUCCUGGAUAAACACAGACAGUUUAAUCAACCAUGAAGAAAUCCAAGAGUUGACUGAAAGUGCUUUGUCAGGAAGAGGAGAGAGGCCCCUGCCCUCAGAGAAAUGUUGGAGGUCACUUUAGCAACAGAGACGGCCGCUGGCCACACAGGCCAUCGUGGAGGCACCAAGGGCCUGGUGGGGGUGUCAGUGGGGAGACUC